GACGAACCGUGCGAACGUUGUUCGGAUUCACUGGGCUUAAAGGGCGCGUAGGCGGGCGGUCAAGUCAGGGGUGAAAUCUUUCGGCUCAACCGGAAAAGUGCCUCUGAUACUGGCCGCCUCGAGGGAGGUAGGGGCAUGUGGAACUUCCGGUGGAGCGGUGAAAUGCGUAGAUAUCGGAAGGAACGCCGGUGGCGAAAGCGACGUGCUGGACCUCUUCUGACGCUGAGGCGCGAAAGCCAGGGGAGCAAACGG
rnacentral:rRNA from 1 species